rnacentral:rRNA from 1 species
AAGCUUCAACGCGUAAGUUUGGGUAGCGAACCGGAUUAGAGACCCGCAGUAGUCCAAACCGUCAACACAUUAUAGUUUUCAAAUCUAUAACGCCUGGUGAUACGGUGGCAACACUAUAAAUCAAAGCAAUUGGCAGCGAUAGAGAUGCGCGGUGGAAUAUGCUGUUUAAAUCGAAUUUACGCGCAAAAUCUUACCACUUUUUAUU